UACGGAGGGGGCUAGCGUUGUUCGGAAUUACUGGGCGUAAAGCGCACGUAGGCGGCUUUGUAAGUUAGAGGUGAAAGCCCGGGGCUCAACUCCAGAAUUGCCUUUAAGACUGCAUCGCUUGAAUCCAGGAGAGGUGAGUGGAAUUCCGAGUGUAGAGGUGAAAUUCGUAGAUAUUCGGAAGAACACCAGUGGCGAAGGCGGCUCACUGGACUGGUAUUGACGCUGAGGUGCGAAAGCGUGGGGAGCAAACAGG
rnacentral:rRNA from 1 species